rnacentral:tRNA from 1 species
GUAACAUUAGUAUAAGUUGAUUAUUUCUGGUUUUCGGUUAGAAGAUUUUAUGUUAUU